GUACGGGAGGCAGCAGUGGGGAAUUUUCCGCAAUGGGCGAAAGCCUGACGGAGCAAGACCGCGUGAGGGACGAAGGCUCUUGGGUUGUAAACCUCUUUUCUCAAGGAAGAAGCUCUGACGGUACUUGAGGAAUCAGCAUCGGCUAACUCCGUGCCAGCAGCCGCGGUAAGACGGAGGAUGCAAGCGUUAUCCGGAAUUAUUGGGCGUAAAGCGUCCGCAGGUGGCUUAUCAAGUCUGCUGUCAAAGACCGGGGCUUAACUUCGGAAAGGCAGUGGAAACUGGAAGGCUAGAGAGAGGUAGGGGUAAGGGGAAUUCCCGGUGUAGCGGUGAAAUGCGUAGAGAUCGGGAAGAACACCCGUGGCGAAAGCGCCUUACUGGACCUUUUCUGACACUCAGGGACGAAAGCUAGGGGAGCGAAAGGGAUUAGAUACCCCCGUAC
rnacentral:rRNA from 1 species